rnacentral:tRNA from 1 species
GCAUCGGUGAUUCAGUGGUAGAGUUCUCGCCUUCCAUGCAGGAAACCAGGGUUCAAUUCCCAGCCAGCGCA